UGUUACUUAGGCUACCUCAGAGCCAUAGAGAGAGAGAGUUGCGACAACUCCAUAGACUCCAAUGGAACGGUUUUUUACAGCAAUGGCGGCUCGUGGAGCCUCUCAAUAGUUCCCGGAAGUAGCAGCCGCGCCGUAGAGUUACAGCAGAACAGACCGUUUGUGAUGUACUUUUAAAAGCACAAAGGGGAUUCAGAUCCUGAAGACUCCAUGCAAUGAUGCUGUCACCGCCAGUCUCUGCUCCUUGGAUUUUGCAAGCUUUUCCUUGCUCCUUAUUUUUAAUAAACCUUUAAUAAACAUAAAA